rnacentral:tRNA from 1 species
UGGACGUAAAAAAAAUUAUUUGCACUAAUCUUCAUAAAACGACCUUUAA